AUUCUUGUCUUUAAUUAUAGACUGGAUGAUGGUUUAACAAACCCUACUCUGUCUCAAUAAGAAAUUUUAUAAAAUUGAAAUUGUAGUGAAGAUGCUACAUAAAAAUUGUAAGACGAAAAGACCCUAUCGAGCUUUACUGAAUACUUAUAGUAUCACAAUUAUGCAAAUAUACAAAAAUCUAUAGUAUUGUAAGUAAGACAGUUUGGUUGGGGCGACCACCCUUAAAAAAGUAACAAGGGAAAUCUAAAAGUUAUAUAAUUAUGAUAUAUAACCUAACUGAUAUAACAACUAUUAACACAGAUAUCACCUAAGUGAUAGGACAUACUGACCCUUUGUAAUUUAUUUAAAAUACAAAGUCCUUGGAAAAAGUUACCGUAGGGAUAACAGGGUAAUAUUUUCAAAGAGUUCACAUCGAUGAAAAUGUUUGCCACCUCGAUGUUGAAUUGUGAUAUCCUAGAGGUGUAGCAGCUUCU
rnacentral:rRNA from 1 species